rnacentral:lncRNA from 1 species
UCUGGAUACUGUAUGUGCUUUCUUCUCUUACAAGUGAUGACAUCAACUUCAGGUAAGAACAUCUACUUUUUUCCUACUCAGUCUCAGCUGUGGAAAGAAUCUAGUGCAUCACCUUUUAGUGAGUAUUAAAGUCAGCACUUCAUUGUAAUAUCAAGAGAAAGACUGAAAAAUGGAAAUCAGCAACUCUUCUUAGAUCCAUGAAAAAUGAGAUUACAGGGCAAACCACUUCCCCCCAUAUUGGAGACACAGACAGGUGUAAGAAUCUACCAAAGCAGCAAACCAUAAGCAGAAACCUUUGGAGAAAACAGUACCAGGAUUGGAAAAUCUAAACCCUAAUUAUUCAAUUGCUAGAGGUUGUAUAGACCUGUCUGAGUCAAAAACUCCAGAGAAGACCAGGGCAGGCAGGACACUUGUGCCUUUUACCUCUAGUGUUUCUACCAGGUUCUUACAGUAAAUGAUUGGAGAAAAUUUCUUUGUGCUUCCAGCAAGGGGAAGAGAAAAGUAAUCAUUUUGAUACAUACUUGUCUUAAAAAAACAUUGUACUCAAGAAAACUAUUUUGCCAGAGCCCAACCUAUUAUAGUUCCAUAACCCUAAGUAACCCAGGGGAAGGGUAAUAUCUAACUUCAGGCUCCUCUAUCCAUCCUGUCCCACUUAAGAGGGAGCAGAAUCCAGGGAAGCACUCAUGAAGCUCACUUCCCAAGAGCACAGGCUCACCCAAACUGAAACCUAAUCAGAGAAUCACAGAAUGCUUCUCUUCCCCCCAAACUGUGUCACUUCAUCACUAAAAAUCUCUCACCAGAAUUCUUCCCCACACACACACACAAAAAAAAAAAAAACCCGGGAAACAUACUAAAAGGCAAAUCUAUAGUUUGAAGAGAGAGAACAAAACCAGAUUCAGAUAUGAUGGGGAUUUAUCAGACCAGGACUUUAAAACAACUAUAAAUAAUAUACUAAGGGGCCUAAUGGAAAAAGCAGAUAACAUUUAAGAAUAGAUGGAUAAUGUAAGUAGAGAGAUAUGAAUUCUAAGAAUACAAAAGAAAUGUUAUAGAUUAAAAGAAAGAAAUAUAAAAAUUACUGCCAAAAAACUCUCUUAGGUCACUUUUAGAGUUGUGUUAUUAGCUCUAUUGAAUAUAAACUUCUGUUUCUAUGUAAUCUUUUUCAUAAUGAUAGAAAUUUAGAAAAAUAAACAAUUUUUGUAACAAAAUCUAUAGGUCAAAGUAACAAAGAUAGCCCAAUAAAAUAACUUUCUAAAAUGAUGUGUUUAAUGACUGGAGGUACAAAAUAAUUUGUAAAUAUUGAAAGAUAAAUAGGCUUUAUAUCAGGAAUGUGCAGAUGGUUUGGAGCUAUCAAAGACCUUAUUGUGGCCUAAGAUUGAGAGAGCAACCCUGUUGUGGGCUUCAGUGAAAGAAUUGUCUCCAUAGUGGCAGAUGCAAAAAUGCAUUAAACAGUAAUUACAAACAGAGUUAUACAUGGUCAAAACUGCCUAAAGGAAUUUAUUUGGAGCAUAUGGGAGAAGAUUGCAAUAGAAACAAAGAGGGAGAAGAAAACAAAGGGUUUGACUGAUGUGAGAUGGUUAGUGGAGCAUAUGCACCCAAGGAUGCAUCCGAGUUAUCACUGACUCCUUGCUCCUCACACCACCUCUUAGAUCCAUAUCCACAGGGCAUCACUGCACUGAAGGUACCACACCCUGAAAACAGUUCUGAGAGUGCUCUUCUGGUGUUCUGUGUGGAUUUGCAUUGGUCAGUGUGAAUCAAGUCAAGUGAUCUUUUUGGUUUUUCUCCUUGGAAUAAAUGAGGUUCUGCUGGAAUUGGUUCUACUGAAUUUGCUCAUUGAAAAGUUAUACUAAAAUAUCCCUUUUUUAGAUUUAGAAAUUUAUUCUUACAUUUUUGAAGGUUUUAUACAUUAACUAUGAUUUUGAUAAAAUUUUUAAAAUAUGUGCUAUCAUAGUAUCCUAAUUUUUGUUGAAUGCUUUGAUCUCAAAUUUUAUUUUGCCUAGUAUACCUAUUGUUAGUCUAGGUGUUAAAGCAUCAAUGUUAACAUGAUUACUUCUCAUAUUUGUUUAAUUUUAAUUGGAUAUUCUGUUAAAGUUUUCACUUGGGCUAGUAAUUCUCUUAUUCUCAUAUACAAAAUCAAAACUAAAUUCUUUUAUAGUGAAUGUGUCAAGCUAAAAAUGUAUCUGCUCUCCCCUUAAUUUCUGUGUUGCCUCUUUUUCUUCCUUCUAAAAAGGAAAUAUAUAUGAAUAUUUUAAAUUCUUUUAUAUACCUACUGCGUGGUCCUUCCAAGAAAAAAUAGUAAUUGUAAUUUUUAUCCUAGCAAUACUACAAAAAAAUCCCAAAUUUUGCUCAAGUGGUUAUAAGUUUUUAGCUUCAAAGCAUUAUUAAAUUUCUGUUAUUGCUAAUGUACUCUACUGUUCUUCCUACUCUCAGAAACAUGCUGAAAAUGAUAGAGAUUAUAAAAGAUAAAUAUUAAAUUAAUACACAUUUUUUCUAAUUUUCUAUUGCAGGGAAAUACAUAUAACAUAAAGUCUACAAUCUUAAUCAUUUUAAGUGUAUAUUUCAAUGGUAUUAGCCACAUUAUUUAAGUUGUGUAACCAUCCCAAUCAUCUGUUGAAAGAGGAAUUUUCAUAUUGUAAUUCUGAAACGCUAUACUUAUUAAACAAUUUUCCCCAUUCUCCCACCUUCAUCCCGAGGCAACCACCAUUCUACCUUCUGUCUCUGUGGUUUUAGCCACUCUAAAUACCUCACACAGGUGGACUCAUACAGUAUUUGUCUUUUUAUGGGGCUAGCCUAUUUUAAUAAUGUAGAAUAUGUCAGAAUUUCCUUUCUUUCUGAGACUGUAUAUUAUUCCUUUGUAUGUAUUACAUUUAUAUACCACAUCUUGUUUAUUCAUUCAUCUGUUGAUGGACACAUGAGUUGCUUUACUUAGCUGUAAAGGAUGCUGCUGUGAACAUAGGUGUACAAAUAUCUCUUUGAGACCCUGCUGUUAAUUCAAUUCAAUGUUACAUUUCAGGACAUACAUACAGCAUGCAGUGAUCAAAGCCACCAUCCCUUUACCUGGUCCCUACAUUUCCCAACCUCAAGUGAUCACUAUUUUGCAUUCAAACAAACAUAUUUUAGCUUCUGUAUAUGAAAGAGCACAUGGUACUUUUCUGUCUGUGUCUGGUUUGUUUUACUUAACAGUAUGUUUCAAUUUCAUCCAUUUGGCUAAAAGUGAUGGAAUUUCAUUCAUGUUUAUAACUGAAAAAUAUUCUCUUGUAUAUAUGUGUGUGUGUGUGUAUAUAUAUAUAUAUAUAUAUAUAUAUAUAAUAUAUGUGUAUAUACUAUCAAAUAUAUAAGUCACUGACUGAUAUAGACGUGACUUUAUUUUAAAGAGAUGUUUAAAUGCUAAAAUUUCCUAAUUUUUGAGUCAAAUUAAACAUCAACAACAAGGUUACAUCAUUAACAUGGUGUAAAAAGCACAAACAAUACCUGCAUUUCUCUAAUCCAGUAUUUCUGCUUCAAGCUUCCUGAUUUUUCAGAAAUUGUAUUGCCCUGAAAUAUACUAUAUGGACCUCAUUCUCAAAGGGAAUUUUCCUCAAAUUUGAGAUGAUGGUAGAGGCUCGUUCCUGGUUCUGAUCUUUGUUACAAUCUUGGUUAUUAUGAACUUUAAUCCUGAAAUAGUAAAUAUUAAUAUUCCCUCUUCUAUAACCUAUUAGAGUAAGCAUUCUAAUUUCAUUGGUGCUAUAGUUUGAUGUUGAAUGGCCCCCAAAGCCCAUGUGUUAAAGACUUAUUUUCCAGGGUGGCAGUGGCAGUGGCAGUGUUGGGAACUGGAAGAACCAUUAAGAAGUAGGACCUAGUGGAAAGUCUUUAGGUCAUGAGGGACAAGCCUUUGAAGGGGAUAAUGGAUUUUGGCUCUGUCCUUGCUCUUUUGCUUCCUGUUGAUGGUGUGGGCAGUUUAAUUCUACUAUGACCUCCCAACAUGAUGUGCUGUCUUGGCAUGGGCCCCUAAAACAACAGACAAGGAUCAUAAACUAAAAUCUACACCUACAUUUAUUUCUUAACUUACUAUUUCAAAGAGUGCCACAAUUAACAUGAUCAUUCAGGUAUUUCUUUUGUAUGUAGAUUUUAUUUUCUGUGAAUGUGUACAAAGUACUGGGAUUGUUGGAUCAUAUGGUAUAAGUUCUUUAAAGGAACCUCCAUACUGUUCUCAAUAAAGGCUAUACUAAUUUACAUUCAUAGCAGCAAUGUAUGAGAGUUCCUUUUCCUCCACAUCCUCACUAGCGCUUAUUUUUUUCUUUUUAGAUAGCAGCAAUUUUAAUUGGAGUUCAAUGAUGUCUCACUGUAGUUUUGAUUUUUACUUUACUGAUGGCUAAUAAUAUUAAGCAUUUUUUCAAAUGUCUAUGGGCCACCUUUUUAAAUUAUUUUCAGAAUAUUCCUGAAACAUUCAUGGAUGAAAAUUUCCUAAAUUUGAUGAAAGACAAAUAUCUGAGGUGUUCUUCCCCUUUCACUCUCUGUUCUCUUUCUGGAAAUCCUAAAAUGCAUGUGUUGGUCUGCUGGAUGAUGUCACACAUAUUCCCCCUUUUUUUCUUUAAUAUUUGUUUUUCUCCAUAAUUUGCAUGUUUUUGAAUUGUAUUUCUUUAAGUUUUGGGGGUUUUACUUCUUAUAAACUACUUUUGUGACAAGGUUCACCCUAAAGUAUAAGCCUAAGGUCUCCUUAUGUCUUUUAUGAUUCUGUGCUUUCUCUGGGCAUAUGCCUACACUUUGUAAUUCUUCCCAGUUUCUUUUGAAUGUUCCAGUCCUAACUGUAUGGUACUCAAAAAGUAAAAAGAGGAAAAAGGCUUUUCACCACAGGUGGAAAAAGGCUUUUCACCACAGGUGAAAAAAGCCCUUUUUUAUUUGGAGAAGGAGGAGUAGGAGGGGGCAACCACAGGGGAAGGUACGAUGACCAACCACCUCAUUGUCUGCACCUCUGUGAUCAGAGGCAGCAAUCAGUUAUUAGAGCACAGACACCUCAAUGCUUGAAGGAUAAAGUCCUUUUUCCCUACCUGCUUUGUUCAAGCUGCUCUAGAAACAUAACAUUGUUUGGGUGGGGAGUCAGAUUGCUUGCUGGUGCUUCCUACUCCACCAUCUCCCAGAAUCCUCCAAAUGAAUAUAUUUUUAAAAGUCUAAAGAUGCACCAUUGGUAUUUAUAAAAAAAUAGAAUAUUGGUUUAAUCUGAAGGAAUGUGAUCAGAGCUGAACAUUCAGAUCAGCAUAGGUCUACUGGGCAGAAUUUGUGUGUCCUUCCAAGUAGUGUCUAGCAACAGGGUUGUUACUGGUUUAUGACUUAUUUUGGUUUUCUUUCUUCCUCCACAGAGAAGUUGAUGGUGACUGUUCCCAAGGGGCAUUUGGUGGCUAGAGUAGGAGGACAGGCUGCUCUCAGCUGCCAGUUGUCCCCACCACAAAGUGCAGAGCACAUGGAGGUGCACUGGUUCAGGGGUGACAAUUCCCAGCUUGUUUACCUGUACAGAGGUGGUCAUGAAGUAAAUGGAGAAGCUGCCCCUGAAUAUGUAAAUCGUACAGAGUUUGUGAAAGAGGCCAUGGGGGAGGGUAAAGUGACCCUCAAAAUUCAUAAUGUCAGCAUUUCUGAUGAUGGACCA